AGAAUUUGUCAUCAGCAUACAGAAUGCUAAAGUAUGAUGUGGAGACCAGGAGAGGUCACCAGGCACCACAGGCAGACCAAGCUGAAUUCUACUUUCCAUCAGACAUUGAACUCAGCAUGGCACAGAGUCGAGAAAUUGCCCAACUCCAGUCUGAACUCAAUCAAAAGAAGUAUACUAAUGACGAACUAAAACAGAAGUUGGCUAGGAGAGCAGAUGAACAGCGCGAUGAUUUGCCGUAGGUUUUUUCUCUUCAUUUUUGAAGUAUUUACAAU